rnacentral:tRNA from 1 species
AGUUAAUGAACUUGAAAUAAGUAUAUAUUUUGAAAAUAUAAAAUAGAAAAUAAAACUUUCUAUUAACUU